rnacentral:rRNA from 1 species
CACGGGGGGAGCAAGCGUUGUUCGGAAUCACUGGGCGUCAAGGGCGUGUAGGCGGUCAGGUAAGUGAGAUGUGAAAUGCCCCGGCUCACCCGGGGACCGGCAUCUCAUACUGCUUGGCUUGAGUACGGGAGAGGAUGUGGGAAUUCCUGGUGUAGCGGUGAAAUGCGUAGAUAUCAGGAGGAACACCGGUGGCGAAGGCGGGUCUCUGGGCCGAUACUGACGCUGAGGAGCGAAAGCGUGGGGAGCGAACAGG